rnacentral:rRNA from 1 species
AGUGGCGAACGGGUGAGUAACGCGUGAGGACCCUGCCUCAAAGAGGGGGACAACAGUUGGAAACGACUGCUAAUACCGCAUAAGCCCACGGCUCGGCAUCGAGCAGAGGGGAAAGGAGUGAUCCGCUUUGAGAUGGCCUCGCGUCCGAUUAGCUAGUUGGUGAGGUAACGGCCCACCAAGGCAACGAUCGGUAGCCGGACUGAGAGGUUGAACGGCCACAUUGGGACUGAGACACGGCCCAGACUCCUACGGGAGGCAGCAGUGGGGAAUAUUGCACAAUGGGGGAAACCCUGAUGCAGCGACGCCGCGUGGAGGAAGAAGGUCUUCGGAUUGUAAACUCCUGUUGUUGAGGAAGAUAAUGACGGUACUCAACAAGGAAGUGACGGCUAACUACGUGCCAGCAGCCGCGGUAAAACGUAGGUCACAAGCGUUGUCCGGAAUUACUGGGUGUAAAGGGAGCGCAGGCGGGAGAACAAGUUGGAAGUGAAAUCCAUGGGCUCAACCCAUGAACUGCUUUCAAAACUGUUUUUCUUGAGUAGUGCAGAGGUAGGCGGAAUUCCCGGUGUAGCGGUGGAAUGCGUAGAUAUCGGGAGGAACACCAGUGGCGAAGGCGGCCUACUGGGCACCAACUGACGCUGAGGCUCGAAAGUGUGGGUAGCAAACAGGAUUAGAUACCCUGGUAGUCCACACCGUAAACGAUGAUUACUAGGUGUUGGAGGAUUGACCCCUUCAGUGCCGCAGUUAACACAAUAAGUAAUCCACCUGGGGA